rnacentral:rRNA from 1 species
CUGGUUGAUCCUGCCAGUAGUCAUAUGCUUGUCUCAAAGAUUAAGCCAUGCAUGUCUAAGUAUAAGCAACUUUGUACUGUGAAACUGCGAAUGGCUCAUUAAAUCAGUUAUAGUUUAUUUGAUGGUUUUUGCUACAUGGAUAACUGUGGUAAUUCUAGAGCUAAUACAUGCAUUCAAGCCCCGACUUCUGGAAGGGGUGUAUUUAUUAGAUAAAAAUCAACUUUGUUGGUGAAUCAUAAUAACUUCUCGGACCGCAUGGCCUUGUGCUGGCGGUGCUUCAUUCAAAUAUCUGCCCUAUCAACUGUCGAUGGUAGGAUAGAGGCCUACCAUGGUUGCAACGGGUAACGGGGAAUAAGGGUUCGAUUCCGGAGAGGGAGCCUGAGAAACGGCUACCACAUCCAAGGAAGGCAGCAGGCGCGCAAAUUACCCAAUCCCGACACGGGGAGGUAGUGACAAUAUGUAACAAUAUACGGCUUAUACGUCGUAUAAUUGGAAUGAGUACAAUUUAAAUCCCCUAACGAGGAACAAUUGGAGGGCAAGUCUGGUGCCAGCAGCCGCGGUAAUUC